rnacentral:rRNA from 1 species
AAGCGCUUGCAAUCAGACUUGCAUGCAGUUGAUCAUCCGAUGUUCUCACCGGUGCACUCAAUUGCAUUCAGGCCAGCAUCGGUUUUGGUGGUUGGAUAAAGACCUUGGGAAUGUGGCUCCUUUCGGGGAGUGUUAUAGCCUAAGGUGCAAUGCAGCCUACUGGGACCGAGGACCGCGCUUCGGCUCGGAUGUUGGCGUAAUGGUUGUCAGCGA